rnacentral:tRNA from 1 species
AGCCUUAUAGUUUAAUGGAUAAAACCACAGUUUCCUAAACUGUUAAUCUGGGUUCGAUUCCCGGUGAGGCUA